UACGUAGGGGCCUAGCGUUGUCCGGAAUCAUUGGGCGUAAAGAGCGCGUAGGCGGCCCGGUAAGUCCGCUGUAAAAGUCAAAGGCUCAACCUUUGAAUGUCAGUGGAUACUGCCGGGCUAGAGUCCGGAAGAGGCGAGUGGAAUUCCUGGUGUAGCGGUGGAAUGCGCAGAUAUCAGGAGGAACACCAAUGGCGAAGGCAGCUCGCUGGAACGGUACUGACGCUGAGGCGCGAAAGCGUGGGGAGCGAACAGG
rnacentral:rRNA from 1 species